rnacentral:lncRNA from 1 species
CUCCCUCUCUCCCUCCCUUCCUACUAAAAACCAAUAAGGCUAGGGAGCCUAUCUGCAUAGUUCUGUGAAUGUCUCGGAACAAAGCAAUACACAGAAGCUAAUGCUCUCAUCCUGUGUAAGAUACAAAUCUUGUCACAUCAUGGACCAUCGUGGAGCAUGAAGCUAUUUCUAAUGUGAUGGGGGAAAUGUUUCUAGCAGAAGAGCAAGACAUGGUCCUGGUGCAUGAAAGGAGCCUAAGAAAGAAGAGUGAAAGCUGCACGUGUUCUACCUCCAGAAAGCCAUAAAAGAGAAAAGAAUGUUGUACCAAACUAAGCAAAUGAAGCAUGAAAUGAAAAGCCGGUUGAGCUGGGAGGUAUAAAGAAUGGAAAGGAAGCAGCUACCACCCCUGGUAACCCCAUCAAUCCGGAGAAGCUUCGCAGAGUUACACUGUGCUCUGUCGGGAAGGAAAUGAAUUUUCCUCAUUGUACACAUUCCGAGAAAAAUGAGGCUAAGACUAUUUCAAAGGAUGUUCUACCUAAUUCGAAUGGGCUUUAAGUGCCAUCUUCACAAUAGCGCCAGAGUCUGGUGUCAGCAAACUGAACAAAUAGAGCUACAGGGAGCGAAUGGGGCUGGGUGCCUCUCCAAAACAUAUGCAGAUGAACUUGAGAUUUCAGAGGACGGUUAAUCCUACACAGCAGUCAAGUGCCUUCCCAGGGGGCUCCCUUCCAAACACUGGCUGCCACGUCAAACCAAAGGGGACGAGCAAUCAGACUCACCUCAAACGCCAGUUAAGAAAGCCGGCCUUACUUAAGCAAUCAAGGGCAAGUGAUCAGCCAACUCUGCUUUCUUUCCUUUCUCUUGGAUCAUUUAUAGACCUUGUGGCCGUGGCCACCACAUUGAGAAGCCCUUGGUCUCUACUUGGACUCACUAUAGCAGGU